rnacentral:rRNA from 1 species
AACGAACGCUGGCGGCGUGCCUAACACAUGCAAGUCGAGCGAGAAAGCCCGCAAGGGUGAGUACAGCGGCGCACGGGUGCGUAACACGUGGGUAAUCUGCCCUGAAGUCCGGAAUAACUCGCCGAAAGGCGUGCUAAUGCCGGAUGAGACCACGGGAGCUUCGGCUCCUGCGGGAAAAGGUGGCCUCUGUAUACAAGCUAUCACUUCAGGAUGAGCCCGCGGCCCAUCAGCUCGUUGGCGGGGUAAUGGCCCACCAAGGCUACGACGGGUAGCUGGUCUGAGAGGACGAUCAGCCACACUGGAACUGAGACACGGUCCAGACUCCUACGGGAGGCAGCAGUGGGGAAUCUUGCGCAAUGGGCGAAAGCCUGACGCAGCAACGCCGCGUGUGUGAUGAAGGUCUUCGGAUCGUAAAGCACUGUCGCGAGGGACGAAUAAGGGGCGGGCUAACAUCCCGUUCCGAUGACGGUACCUCGAGAGGAAGCACCGGCUAACUCUGUGCCAGCAGCCGCGGUAAUACAGAGGGUGCAAGCGUUGUUCGGAAUUAUUGGGCGUAAAGCGCGUGUAGGCGGCUUUGUAAGUUGGGUGUGAAAGCCCUCGGCUUAACCGAGGAAGUGCGCCCAAAACUGCAUGGCUUGAGUACCGGAGAGGGUGGCGGAAUUCCCGGUGUAGAGGUGAAAUUUGUAGAUAUCGGGAGGAACACCAGCGGCGAAGGCGGCCACCUGGACGGAUACUGACGCUGAGACGCGAAAGCGUGGGGAGCAAACAGGAUUAGAUACCCUGGUAGUCCACGCUGUAAACGAUGAGCGCUAGGUGUUGUGGGUGUUGACCCCUGCAGUGCCGCAGCUAACGCAUUAAGCGCUCCGCCUGGGAAGUACGGCCGCAAGGCUA